AUCAGCCACCAAAGUUCCGAGCAGCCGCUGACAUCCAAUACCCAGUCUCUUGGGCAAGCGCCACGGGUCGAGCACAUCGCGGAAGCUGGGUCGGAGGGGAGUGCAGCCCAGGCGGGGAGCGCUCCACAGCCGCCUUGGUCGAUCAGCCAGCCCGUGCUCUCACCUCACCAAACGCUGACAGCCAAUUGUCGGUCUGAUCAAGCCGGGCGGCUCGCCCAUACUGAGCCGCGGGUCGAACAAAUCGCAGAACCAGGGUCGGAGGGAGCUGCGGCCCAGACGGGGAGUGAUUUACACGUGAAUGGAGAAAGAGACAGAAGGGACACAUCCAUUCUGAAUGAAAGAUCUGAUCAGGCAGCUUGUAGUUCAACACCGGCUGAAGUCGGUGACUCUCAGCCUCUCGCUUCAAGGAAAGUAUUGAAACUCCGGCGAUCUUCAAAUCGGAGAAAAGAAAGUAAAUAGCCUUUUUAAUUUAGUUAUUUGUUAGGAUUUUUAUUUUUUUAAGUAGGUCUUACUAAAGUGCGUUAUUUUUUUAUU